rnacentral:rRNA from 1 species
UACGUAGGUGGCAAGCGUUAAUCGGAAUUACUGGGCGUAAAGCGUGCGCAGGCGGUUUUGUAAGUCUGUCGUGAAAGCCCCGGGCUCAACCUGGGAAUUGCGAUGGAGACUGCAAGGCUUGAAUCUGGCAGAGGGGGGUAGAAUUCCACGUGUAGCAGUGAAAUGCGUAGAGAUGUGGAGGAACACCGAUGGCGAAGGCAGCCCCCUGGGUCAAGAUUGACGCUCAUGCACGAAAGCGUGGGGAGCGAACAGG